GGUGCGUUGGCCGAGCGGUCUAAGGCGCUGCACUCAAGUUGCAGUCUUCGUAUGAAGGCGUGAGUUCGAAUCUCACACGCACCA